rnacentral:lncRNA from 1 species
GCCAGCAGGGGAGUCCCUUCCCCUCCUCUCCUCUCCAGCCACAAGGAUAAAUAGGAGACUCAUCUCCUUGGUACAAGAAGAGAGAACACACAGAUCACAGUUCCGUUGCAAAGUAGGAAUCCCCAUCUCGUAACUUCGCGCGCACGGAGGAGCGAGAGGGCAGGUGCCUCCGGAGCCCUUGCCGUUCGAGACCUUGCACGGGGGAUCGACAAUUAGGUUUUUGGGGAGCGUCUACGCGACUGCCCAACUCCAUUGCUGCUGUUCAUCUUCUUCCCGGAGGUCUCUUGGUGUUGCCGGUCGCCGUCUUCUCCUUCCGGUGAUUGGUUCGACGUCUUCACCUUCGUCUCUACUCCAUGGCGAUCGAGGAAGGACAAAGUUCUGGAAAUCUGAAUGCGCGAGUCUCAGGGUCGUAAUUAUGAUUCAUGCCAUAUUUAUAUUUAUCAAUAAUAUCAUAUAUGUCAUCAUCAUAUUGUUAAUUUAUGGAAUUAAAAUGACAUGGAAAUUGCCUAAUAUCCUAACAAUCCAAAAACCUAAUUAUAGGCAUUUUUCUGUCAGAGGUUUUGCUGCCGUGUUGAAACCUGAUACUUUUGAUGGUAAAACUUCUUGAUCUGGAAAGCUAAGAUGGAAUUGUGGCUAACUGCUAUGUCAUGUUAUCAUGCCGCUGAGGGCAAGCCUGCUAACUUGUCUCCUGAGGAUGAGGCUAAGUUUAAGGCUGAUGACAACCUCUUUCGAGGUGCAGUGAUUAGCGCACUUGAUCCAAAAUUCCAGAAAAGCUACAUAAUUCUUCCAAGCGGGAAAGAGUUAUGGGAUGCUCUUGUGGCUAAGUUUGGAGUUACAGACGCUGGUACUGAGCUGUAUCUUAUGGAGCAGUUGUAUGACUACAAGAUGGUUGAGAACCGUUCUGUAGUGGAACAAGCUCAUGAGAUUCAAGCACUGGCUAAGGAACUUGAACUUUUCCCUUGUCCCCUGCCUGACAAGUUUGUGGCUGGCGGUAUUAUCGCCAAGUUACCACCUUCUUGGAAGGAAUUUGCUACUUCUCUCAAACACAAGAGGCAAGAGUUCAAUGUUGAGGAACUCAUUGGUACUCUUGAUGUUGAGGAGAGGGCGAGAGCAAAGGAUAAUGGGAAAGGUGUUGAGCCUUCUACUGCCAAUGUGGUGCAGAAGAACUUCCACAAGUUUAACAAGAAAAAAAAAAUCAGAAAAAGAAAGAGAACAACCAUAAGCCCAAUCGGUCCACUCAGUUCAAGAAAACUACCAACAAUAACAAGAUGGGAAGCUGCUUUGUUUGUGGCAGUGAGGAACACUGGGCAAGUGAGUGCCCAGAUCGCAAGUUCUUCCAAGGGAAGAAAUCAGCUAAUGUUGUAACUACUGAGACUGUAGGAACAUCUGGGUAUGGUAAUUCUUUGCCAUAUGUUCUUUCAGUUUGUAAUUCACCUGAGUGGUGGAUGGAUAGUGGUGCAAAUAUACAUGUGUGUGCUGAUGUUUCCUUGUUUGCCACUUACCAGGUCGGGAGGUCUGGCGCCUUGUUGAUGGGAAAUGGGUCGCGUGCUCAUGUUCUUGGUGUUGGUACGGUCAUUCUGAAGUUUACUUCGGGGAUGACGGUGCCAUUGAAGAGCGUGCAGCAUGUGCCCUCUAUCAAGAAAAAUCUUGUUAGUGCUUCUAUGCUAUGUCGAGAUGGUUAUAGAGUUGUCCUUGAAUCGAACAAAUGUGUUGUGUCGAAACAUGGAUCCUUUGUUGGUAAAGGAUAUGAUUGCGGAGGUUUGUUCCGCUUAUCUCUACAUGAUGUGUGUAAUAAACUAGUGAAUUCUGUUGAUAUUUCUGAUGAGUCGGAUUUAUGGCAUUCACGGUUUUGUCACGCAAGUUAUGGUUGUCUUAUGCGGUUAGCAAAUCUGAAUUUAAUUCCUAAAUUUAACUUGGUCAAUAAAUCUAAGUGCCAUGUAUGCGUUUAAUCAAAACAACCCCGCAAGCCUCAUAAGGCUGCUGAGGCGAGGAACUUGGCACCUCUAGAACUUAUUCAUUCCGAUUUGUGCGAAAUGAAUGGUAUUUUGACUAAAGGCGGUAAAAGAUACUUUAUCACAUUUAUAGAUGACUCCACUAGAUUUUGCUAUGUGUAUCUCUUAAAAACAAAGGAUGAAGCGCUCCAUUAUUUUAAGGCCUAUAAAGCUGAAGUUGAAACCAACUAGAGAGGAAAAUAAAACAUUUAAGGUCUGAUAGAGGUGGAGAAUAUUUCUCAAAUGAUUUCGAUGAAUUUUGUGUGGAACACGGUAUUAUUCAUGAGAGGACAUUGCCAUUCUCACCACAAUCCAAUGGGAUUGCUGAAAGGAAAAACCGUACUUUAACAGAGUUGGUGAAUGCCAUGUUAAAUACAGCGGGAUUAUCCAAGGAAUGGUGGGGUGAGGCAAUUUUGACCGCGUGUCAUGUCCUAAACAGGGUUCCUACUAAAAACAAAGAGAUCACUCCAUUCAAGGAAUGGGAAAAGAAGAGAAUAAAUCUUUCAUAUUUACGCACUUGGGGUUGUUUGGCAAAGGUGAAUGUGCCAAUCAACAAGAAGCGUAAAUUAGGACCUAAAACUGUUGAUUGUAUUUUCCUUGGUUAUGCUUUCCACAGCGUUGGAUAUAGGUUCUUAAUUAUAAAAUCUGAUGUGCCUGAUCUGUAUGUUGAUACUAUCAUGGAAUCGAGAGACGCUACAUUUUUUGAGAAUGAGUUUCCCAUGAAAAAUACACAUAGUAAAAUAAGUCAUGAGACUAUAAUACCCCAUGAGCAAGAAUUGUCUAUUCCUAUAGAUCAUGCUGAGGAGACUCACAUGCACAUCCCUGAGGAGGAUGACACUAUAGUCACACGAAAGGGCAAGAGACAGAGGAUUGCAAAAUCCUUUGGUGAUGACUUUAUAGUGUACCUUGUGGAAGACACGCCAACUACUAUUGUUGAGGCAUAUUCCUCUCCUGAUGCCGACUUAUGGAAGGAGGCAGUAAGGAGUGAGAUGGAAUCUAUUAUGUCCAACGGAACAUGGGAGGUCGUUGACCGUCCCUAUGGCUAUCAACCUAUAGGCUGCAAAUGGAUCUUUAAGAAAAAGCUUAGGCCUGAUGGUACAAUUGAGAGGUACAAGGCAAGGCUGGUGGCCAAAGGAUAUACCCAGAAAGAGGGGGAAGAUUUCUUUGACACCUAUUCACCGGUCGCUCGAUUGACUACAAUUCGCACUUUGAUUGCCGUGGCAGCUUCAUACGGUCUUAUCAUUCAUCAGAUGGAUGUUAAGACGGCUUUCCUUAAUGGAGAGUUAGAUGAGGAGAUCUAUAUGGAUCAGCCAGAAGGGUUCAUUGCGGAUGGUCAAGAAAGCAAGGUGUGUAGGCUGUUAAAGUCAUUAUAUGGCCUAAAGCAAGCACCUAAGAAAUGGCAUGAAAAGUUUGAUAGUACACUUAUAGCUGCUGGCUUUGUUGUGAAUGAAGCUGACACUUGUGUGUAUUAUCGAUAUGGUGGGGGUGAGGCUGUUAUGCUAUGCCUUUAUGUUGAUGACAUUUUGAUCUUUGGAUCUAAUCUCAAUGUGAUUGAGGAAGUAAAGAAACUUCUAUCGAGUAAUUUUGAUAUGAAAGAUUUGGGAGAAGCUGAUGUCAUUCUUAACAUCAAGCUUAUCAGAGAAGGUGAUGGUGGGGUAACUUUGUUACAAUCCCAUUAUGUGGAAAAGGUAUUAAGUCGCUUUGGGUUUAGUGACUAUGAUCCUGCUCCCACGCCUUAUGACCCUAGUGUGCUAUUGAGGAAAAAUCGAAGAAUAGCAAGGGAUCAAUUAACAUACUCCCAGAUCAUUGGCUCACUUAUGUACCUUGCGAGUGCAACGAGACCUGAUAUUUCAUAUGCUGUGAGCAAGCUGAGUCGGUUUGUGUCAAAACCGGGCUAUGAUCACUGGCGUGCUCUUGAGAGAGUGUUGCGCUACCUGAAAGGGACUAUGUCCUACGGUAUUCACUAUACCGGAAACCCUAGAGUGUUGGAAGGCUAUUGUGAUGCCAACUGGAUCUCUGAUGCUGAUGAGCUUUAUGCCACAAGCGGAUAUGUGUUCCUGCUUGGAGGUGGUGCUGUUUCCUGGAAGUCUUGCAAGCAGACUAUCUUAACGAAGUCUACAAUGGAAGCAGAACUCACAGCGUUAGACACUGCUGGGGCUGAGGCCGAGUGGCUUCGUGAACUCCUGAUGGAUUUACCGGUAGUUGAAAAACCAAUACCGGCUAUAUCCAUGAACUGUGACAACCAAACUGUGAUUACUAAAGUCAACAGUUCCAGGAAUAACAUGAAGUCUACAAGGCAUGUUAAGAGACGAUUAAAAUCUGUCAGAAAGUUGAAAACCUCCGGAGUUAUAACGGUGGACUAUGUCCAUACAUCGAAUAAUCUGGCAGAUCAAUUCACUAAGGGACUGUCACGUAAUGUGAUAGAAAGUGCAUCGAGAGAGAUGGGUAUGAGACCCACAAGUUAAUCUACUGUAGUGGUAACCUGCUCUAUGUGAUCGGAGAUCCCGUGAAGUAGAGUGGUGAAACAAGCUAUGAGUAGAUUGAGAGGAAAGUUCCCUUUUGAACCUAUCUCUGAUGUACAACUUUCCUUCUGUAAGGCAGGUUGGUAUUUACCUUAAUGUAUUCCAAGAGUCUUAAACAGAUGAGAUGUUGGCCUACAGAACAUCUUUUGAGGAAAACACCUAUAUGAGUCAGACUGCUGGUCAUAGUCUAUGGGACUUGGGUAAUCCCUAAAUACUCAUGAAAGGCACUGAAGUGUGACUUAUAUGCUUCAAACAGCGGGGAUGCCUUGUGCAGCCAAGUAUCAGCAAAGAGCUUGAGUGGACCUCAUCUCGCACAAAACUGUCAAUUCAAGGCAUAGUCCAUUGUUCAGUUGUGAGUGGGUGAAACUUUUGUUCUAGAUGGAUGUUCAACUUAACAGUCUCCAUCGAAACACUGAUAUAUCAAAGAAUUGUGGAUCUGAUGCUUCAUAAUUACAAACCCUAGAGUUUGGUGGGGAUUGUUGGAUUUAUUAUGGGUUAGACCCAUUUAGAUUUAAUAAAUCAAUAAACUCUAUGGUGUGUAAUUAUGGACAAUAUAUACAUUGUACCAAAUAGGAGCAAGUCCAAGGGUUGGAGUGGCUGGCUGAUGGUACGGGAGUUUCAACUCAAUUAUGUGGGAGUUUCAACUCAUUAUCUGCGGGUGUUUCGAUAAUUAAUUUAGGGAGUUUCAGCUCCGCGUGAAAACCAUGAUGAUGCCCGUCUCUUCAGCCGCCAGCAGGGGAGUCCCUUCCCCUCCUCUCCUCUCCAGCCACAAGGAUAAAUAGGAGACUCAUCUCCUUGGUACAAGAAGAGAGAACACACAGAUCACAGUUCCGUUGCAAAGUAGGAAUCCCCAUCUCGUAACUUCGCGCGCACGGAGGAGCGAGAGGGCAGGUGCCUCCGGAGCCCUUGCCGUUCGAGACCUUGCACGGGGGAUCG